rnacentral:lncRNA from 1 species
CUUCAAAUUUGACACUAUUUUGACAACGUCACGUGUCGGCUUGUUAUUGGGCGUUUUUUUUAAAAAAAAAAAAAUUCAAAAAAGUGACAUAAUUUAAUAUGAAAUGGUUUUAAAUAUUUGUUUCCAAGUUUGCCCUUGGCCAGAUUCAUGUGACAUAAAAGUUCUCUUUCUUCCCUGUUUCAUCAGUUGUUGAGUUUCUCCGACAGGUUCGUUCUCUUCCCUUACGGUCAUCCAAAAUCGUUUUUGUCUUCGUUUUUGUCAUCUCACUGUCGUUGGUCCUUGUGGUUGCCCUCUUGGCCUUCGUUAUCGGGGUGGGUGUUGCGGUGAUUGCAUCUUUUGGUUGUUGGUGUGUUCGCGUUGCGAAAUGACGAGUUCUUCGACCCGGGUAAGCGCGUUAAUCUUUGGUUGGUUUGUGGUGUUUAGUGCUUGGUAUUUGGAGUUUGGGUUUUGUGUGUUUUUUUUUAUUUAGGGUUUUGAAGUUU